rnacentral:rRNA from 1 species
UACGUAGGGCGCAAGCGUUGUCCGGAAUUAUUGGGCGUAAAGAGCUCGUAGGCGGCCAGUUGCGUCCGCUGUGAAAUCCCGGGGCUUAACCCCGGGCGUGCAGUGGAUACGGGCUGGCUGGAGGCAGGCAGGGGAGAACGGAAUUCCCGGUGUAGCGGUGAAAUGCGCAGAUAUCGGGAGGAACACCGGUGGCGAAGGCGGUUCUCUGGGCCUGUACUGACGCUGAGGAGCGAAAGCGUGGGGAGCGAACAGG